UUCCUACGGGACGCAGCAGUGGGGAAUAUUGCACAAUGGGGGAAACCCUGAUGCAGCGACGCCGCGUGAGUGAAGAAGUAAUUCGUUAUGUAAAGCUCUAUCAGCAGGGAAGAAAAUGACGGUACCUGAGUAAGAAGCCCCGGCUAACUACGUGCCAGCAGCCGCGGUAAUACGGAGGAUCCGAGCGUUAUCCGGAUUCAUUGGGUUUAAAGGGUGCGUAGGUUGUUUUAUAAGUUAGCGGUGAAAUACCGAUGCUCAACAUCGGGGCUGCCGCUGAUACUGUAGGACUAGAGAUCGGAUGCAGC
rnacentral:rRNA from 1 species